GUCAGUCCCAUCACUUGAUGGCACUGUCAGAAAACUUGCUGCACUGUACAGUGUUCCAUUCUCUGUCUUUUUUUCAUCAAAAGGUGUUUUGAUGUUGGUUAUUCCAGUGGUGAUUUUUACUUCAUUUUUCAGCCAUUUGAA